rnacentral:rRNA from 1 species
CAGCCGCCGCGGUAAUACGGAGGGUGCAAGCGUUAAUCGGAAUUACUGGGCGUAAAGCGCACGCAGGCGGUUUGUUAAGUCAGAUGUGAAAUCCCCGAGCUUAACUUGGGAACUGCAUUUGAAACUGGCAAGCUAGAGUCUUGUAGAGGGGGGUAGAAUUCCAGGUGUAGCGGUGAAAUGCGUAGAGAUCUGGAGGAAUACCGGUGGCGAAGGCGGCCCCCUGGACAAAGACUGACGCUCAGGUGCGAAAGCGUGGGGAGCAAACAGGAUUAGAUACCCCGGUAGUCCUUGUCUCUUAUAC